rnacentral:rRNA from 1 species
UGGGGAAUUUUGGACAAUGGGGGAAACCCUGAUCCAGCCAUCCCGCGUGUGCGAUGAAGGCCUUCGGGUUGUAAAGCACUUUUUGCAGGAAAGAAACGUCAUGGGUUAAUACCCCGUGAAACUGACGGUACCUGCAGAAUAAGCACCGGCUAACUACGUGCCAGCAGCCGCGGUAAUACGUAGGGUGCAAGCGUUAAUCGGAAUUACUGGGCGUAAAGCGUGCGCAGGCGGUUCGGAAAGAAAGAUGUGAAAUCCCAGAGCUCAACUUUGGAACUGCAUUUUUAUCUACCGGGCUAGAGUGUGUCAGAGGGAGGUGGAAUUCCGCGUGUAGCAGUGAAAUGCGUAGAUAUACGGAGGAACACCGAUGGCGAAGGCAGCCUCCUGGGAUAACACUGACGCUCAUGCACGAAAGCGUGGGGAGCAAACAGG